CAACGCACCCGGAUCUGCACGCAUGUAGUGCGCGUGGUCAGGGCGCGGACGUCGUGCCGGCUAUGAAAAGCCGGCACGACGUCCUGGUC
rnacentral:sRNA from 1 species